rnacentral:rRNA from 1 species
CAAUAGCGUAUAUUAAAGUUGUUGCAGUUAAAAAGCUCGUAGUUGGAUUUCUGGUAGGAGCGACCGUGCCGAACUUGAUUGUUCGAGUAUUGUGUUGUCUUCAGCCAUCCUCGUGGAGAACUUUUCUAACAUUAACUUGUUGGGAUUGGGACCCGCGUCGUUUACUGUGAAAAAAUUAGAGUGUUUAAAGCAGGCAUUAGCUUGAAUACAUUAGCAUGGAAUAAUAAGAUAGGACUUUGGUACUAUUUUGUUGGUUUGCAUACCAAAUUAAUGAUCAACAGGAACAGUUUGAGGAUAUUCGCAUGAACAUGUCAGAGGUGAAAUUCUUGGAUUUUGAUCAGACGAACUACUGCGAAAGCAUUUAUCAAGGAUGUUUUCAUUAA